AUAUCAAUAAGCGGAGGAAAAGAAACUAACAAGGAUUCCCCUAGUAACUGCGAGUGAAGCGGGAAAAGCUCAAAUUUGAAAUCUGGCAGUCUUUUUUUUCUUCUUUGGCUGUCCGAGUUGUAAUCUAGAGAAGUGCUUACCUGCGCUGGACCGUGUACAAGUCUCCUGGAAUGGAGCGUCGCAGAGGGUGAGAAUCCCGUCUUUGACACGGACUGCCAGCGUGCUGUGGUGUGCUCUCAAAGAGUCGAGUUGUUUGGGAAUGCAGCUCUAAACGGGUGGUAAACUCCAUCUAAAGCUAAAUAUUGGCGAGAGACCGAUAGCGAACAAGUACCGUGAGGGAAAGAUGAAAAGGACUUUGGAAAGAGAGUUAAACAGUAUGUGAAAUUGUUGAAAGGGAAACACUUGAAGUCAGUCAUGUCGGCUGGGGAUCAGCCUGGCUGUUUUUUGCCGGGUGAUUUUCCCAGUCUGACAGGCCAACAUCAGUCUCGGCCGCUGGAAAAGAGCAGAGGGAAUGUGGCACCUUUGGGUGUGUUAUAGCCCUCUGUCAUGUGUGGCGGCCGGGACUGAGGGAUGCAGCGUGCCGYGAGGCUGGGUUUUAGACCACGUUCACGCUUAGGAUGUUGGCUUUUAAUGGCUUCAAUUGACCCGUCUUACACGGACCAAGGAGUCUAACAUGCCUGCGAGUGUUUGGGUGGGGGAAAACCCUUGCGCACAAUGAAAGUGAAAGUUGAGAUCCCUGUCGUGGGGAGCAUCGACGCCCGGACCUGAGCUUUCAGCAAUGGAUCCGCGGUAGAGCAUGCAUGUUGGGACCCGAAAGAUGGUGAACUAUGCCUGAAUAGGGCAAAGCCAGAGGAAACUCUGGUGGAGGCUCGUAGCGAUUCUGACGUGCAAAUCGAUYGUCAAAUUUGGGUAUAGGGGCGAAAGACUAAUCGAACCAUCUAGUAGCUGGGUUCCUGCC
rnacentral:rRNA from 1 species